GUAAAUAUGUAAUUGAGAUGUGAUAAUGAUCAUGAGAUUUAUUUUGCUAUCUUACUUGGAAUAUGAGAAUGCUUGAAUUGGUGAAACUAUAUGAUAUAGUUGAUGUUGAGUGACAUUGUUGAUUAUUGAUAAUAUGUUGAUGUGUGAUGACGAAUACUAUGAUUUAUUUGUGUGGGCAUGUUUUCUUGAUAAUGCAAUGUUGUGGAGAUAAUCAAUAUAAUUGGGUGUUGUCCUAUAUAUUGAGUUGAGAUUGUGAUUUGUUGUCGCAUUAUCGAGUCCUUACACAUGUCCAUGCAUCAUAGUCGUUGUUGCUGUAAAAGGGAUGAAUCUUUUACUUCGAGAUUAUUGUAAGGCAGAGGUGAGCUUUACAUGCGAUGUUGACUUGUCCAUCGGAGGUGACGACCUUGUUGAGAUUUGGUACCACAUGCAUUUAUGUGUCAAUAAGUGCAUAUCAUAGCAUGAGUCCUAUGUGAAAUAUGUGAUUGGUGAUGAAUAGAGAAGAAUGAAAGUUGAUAAUGAUUGUUCGUGAUUGAUGUUGUGAAUGAACAUUUAUGAUUGGAUAAUUAUUCAUGUGAUUGAUAUCUGUGGAUAUGAACUAUCAAGUUGUGAUAUAAGUAUUUAUGUAUGACUAUUAUU
rnacentral:lncRNA from 1 species